GAGUUUGAUCCUGGCUCAGAACGAACGCUGGCGGCAUGCCUUAUACAUGCAAGUCGAACGAGAAAGUCACUUCGGUGGCGAGUACAGUGGCGCACGGGUGAGUAACGCGUAGAUGAUCUACCCUUCAGUCUGGGACAACUCUUGGAAACGAGAGCUAAUACCGGAUAAAACCUUCGGGUUGAAAGAUUUAUCGCUGGGGGAUGAGUCUGCGUACCAUUAGCUUGUUGGUGGGGUAACGGCCUACCAAGGCGACGAUGGUUAGCGGGUCUGAGAGGACGAUCCGCCACACUGGAACUGAGACACGGUCCAGACUCCUACGGGAGGCAGCAGUAGGGAAUAUUGCGCAAUGGGGGCAACCCUGACGCAGCAAUGCCGCGUGAGUGAAGAAGGCCUUCGGGUCGUAAAGCUCUUUUAUGGGGGAAGAUGAUGACGAUACCCCAUGAAUAAGCACCGGCUAACUACGUGCCAGCAGCCGCGGUAAUACGUAGGGUGCGAGCGUUGUUCGGAAUUACUGGGCGUAAAGGGC
rnacentral:rRNA from 1 species